rnacentral:rRNA from 1 species
AGUGGGGAAUUUUGGACAAUGGGGGCAACCCUGAUCCAGCCAUGCCGCGUGUGUGAAGAAGGCCUUCGGGUUGUAAAGCACUUUCGGCCGGAACGAAAUCGCGCGGGCUAACACCCCGCGUGGAUGACGGUACCGGAAGAAGAAGCACCGGCUAACUACGUGCCAGCAGCCGCGGUAAUACGUAGGGUGCGAGCGUUAAUCGGAAUUACUGGGCGUAAAGUGUGCGCAGGUGGCCGCGCAAGUCGAGUGUGAAAGCCCCGGGCUUAACUUGGGAAUUGCGCUCGAAACUACGUGGCUCGAGUGUGGCAGAGGAAGGUGGAAUUCCAGGUGUAGCGGUGAAAUGCGUAGAGAUCUGGAGGAACACCGAUGGCGAAGGCAGCCUUCUGGGCCAACACUGACGCUCAUGCACGAAAGCGUGGGGAGCAAA